CAGUAGCCGCGGUAAGACGGAGGGUGCUAGCGUUGAUCGGAAUCACUGGGCGUAAAGGGCGCGUAGGCGGCCUGUUAAGUCGGAUGUGAAAGCCCGGGGCUCAACCCCGGAACUGCAUCCGAGACUGGCAGGCUUGAGACCGGGAGAGGAGGGUGGAAUAUCCAGUGUAGAGGUGAAAUUCGUAGAUAUUGGAUGGAACACCGGUGGCGAAAGCGGCUCUCUGGCCCGGAUCUGACGCUGAGGCGCGAAAGCGUGGGGAGCAAACAGGAUUAGAUACCCCGGUAGUCCCUGUCUCUUAUAC
rnacentral:rRNA from 1 species